UACGAAGGGGGCUAGCGUUGUUCGGAUUUACUGGGCGUAAAGCGCACGUAGGCGGAUUGUUAAUUCAGGGGUGAAAUCCUGGAGCUCAACUCCAGAACUGCCUUUGAUACUGGCAAUCUCGAGUCCGGAAGAGGUAAGUGGAACUCCUAGUGUAGAGGUGGAAUUCGUAGAUAUUAGGAAGAACACCAGUGGCGAAGGCGGCUUACUGGUCCGGAACUGACGCUGAGGUGCGAAAGCGUGGGGAGCAAACAGG
rnacentral:rRNA from 1 species